GACGAACGCUGGCGGCGUGCUUAACACAUGCAAGUCGAACGGAAAGGCCCCCAUCUUGGUGGUGGUGCUCGAGUGGCGAACGGGUGAGUAACACGUGGGUGAUCUGUCCUGUACUUCGGGAGAUGCUUGGGAAACUGGGUCUCAUACCGGAUAGGACCAUGGUUUAGUGUCUCAUGGUGGAAAGAUUAUUGUUUUGGUUCAGGAUGAGCUCGCGGCCUAUCAGCUGGUUGGUGGGGUAAUGGCCUCCCAAGGCGCCGACGGGUAGCCGGCCUGGGGGUGUGUACCGCCACAUUGGACCUGGGAUACGGCCAGGAUCCCUACGGGAGGAAGCAGGGGGGAAUAUUGCACAAGGGGGGGAAGCCUAAUGCAGCGAGGCGGCGUGAGGGAUGACGGCCUUCGGGUUGUAAACUCCUUUCGUUAGGGAAGAAGCCGCGUUAUUUGUGAGUGGUGACGGUAACUUUAUGAAGAAGCACCGGCUAACUACGUG
rnacentral:rRNA from 1 species